rnacentral:rRNA from 1 species
GGGGAAUUUUGCGCAAUGGGGGAAACCCUGACGCAGCAACGCCGCGUGGAGGAUGAAAUCCCUUGAGAUGUAAACUCCUUUCGAUAGGGAAGAUUAUGACGGUACCUAUAGAAGAAGCCCCGGCUAACUUCGUGCCAGCAGCCGCGGUAAUACGAGGGGGGCAAGCGUUGUUCGGAAUUAUUGGGCGUAAAGGGUGCGUAGGCGGUCCUACAAGUCUGAUGUGAAAUCUCUGGGCUCAACCCAGAGUCUGCAUCGGAAACUGUAGGGCUUGAGUAUGGGAGAGGUGAGUGGAAUUUCCGGUGUAGCGGUGAAAUGCGUAGAUAUCGGAAGGAACACCUGUGGCGAAAGCGGCUCACUGGACCAUUACUGACGCUGAGGCACGAAAGCUAGGGGAGCAAAC